UCGGACGGAGUUGGGAGGGCUGCAGCCUGGCCCUGGCUCUGCCACUUGUUGGUGGCAAGUGGGUGCGCCCGCCGCCGAGGACCCCUUCAAAAGCGCUCAUUUCGCGCCACUAGCCCGCAGGCCUGCGCACCGCCGUUACAGGCUGGGUCCCCUCCCCGUGCUUCGCGCUCCUUAAACAAAGUCAACCGGAAGCGGGGGUACACAACACUGUUGGAAGAAUAUUGGGUGAUUCUGCUAUAUAGAGUGAUAACACACCAGAGUUGGAAGGGAAAGUCAACAUUUUUCUGGUGCAGUAUUUCUCAGGCUUUGUCAUUCACACACCACCUUUGUGACUGUUGUCAUAUCAGUUGUAGGGACCAGUGGCAAGAAUGAGAGAUCGUUGUUCUACCCCAUCGGUUUGUACAUGAAAUAAGGUUUGAGAAGAGGUGGAGCCUGAGGAACUUGGACCCUGAUCUGUGGCCCCUCAGGGGAAGGCUGACACUGGGCCAGGCAGAGACAUCUUGUCCCCUGUGCCUCAUCUCAGCAGCUAAGAAGUUGUUAAACCAGUAAGGGUUAAGUUUCCUUGUUCCUGAGGUUGGAGACUCCAUGGAACCCAGACUAGGGAAGCAUUUUCUAGAUGCUUCCGCAGGAGAUGGGCGGUGUGCCCACAUCUAAGCUGCCUUGAUGAGGAUAGCAUCCUUUCCCCUUUUUCCACCGACAGAAUGCCCAUCCCUCAGGGUGUUCCAGCACUUGGACCUGAGCCUCAGUGAGCUGGCAGGGAGAGGGAGGACAAACAGAAGGUACACCCAAUGAACUAGAACUGCUGCAAGAGGCAGAUGGUAACACGAAUUUAAGAAAAUAAUAAGCCCUGCCGAUAUUUAAAGACAGUAAAAAGAGACUGUGGAGCUGAAAAUGUGAUUUUCCAACUAAACAGUUCAAGUGAAGAGUUGAAGGAGAAAAUGACCACCACUGAGAUUCAGAUAAGCAGCCUGGAAAAUCAAGGUCAGCAAAUAGCUUCAAGUACAGAACAAAAUUAUAGAGAUGGAAAUCAGGGGGAAAAUUGGUCUUGGAGGGCAGAUCUAACGACCUAACAUAAGAAUAACAGGACUUCCAGAAGGAGAAAAGGGAAUAGAUGAAAGAAAUAAUAAAUGUCAUAGAAAAAUAUUGCCCUGAGCAGAAGGAAGACUUGAAUCUGCAAGACUGAGAGGAUUUUCUGAAUUUCAGGCUGAAAGGACAAGAAAGUACCUGCCUAUUUCUGAACCGUAAAGGAUAAAAGAGGAAAAUGUUAUAGGGUCCAGGCAAUUACCUCAACUUAUCUGAAAAGAGAAAAGAAUCAGGUUGGCAUUACACAUCCCAUCUAGUACUAGAAGCUACAAGCUAAUGAAAUAGACUCCAUAGGACUGUGCCUUUUGAAGUGAUUCAUCUGUUAAGGAAAAAGAAAUAUAUCUAAGGCUAACCCCAUUUGCUGAAAAUAUUCUAGAAAAGAUGCUCUCCACACAUAAAUUACCCAGGAGAGAAUGGAACGGAAAAGUAGAUAGAACUUUCAAAUUAACAAAGGGAAAAAUGGAAACCAGCAAAAAUAAGAAAAGGCAAAAGAGGGAAGAAAAUAAUUAGUCUAUUUUCAUUAUUCUAGGAUUCCAUGUUUGCAAAUGCACCUACUUGCUAAACUUUCUUUGUAACCCUAAAACCAAUAUCACAAAAUGCAAUAUGUAUAGGGCAUACCAGAUGUACACCCACUUUGGAAGACAGGGAGUUUCUUACAAACUAAGCAUACUCUUACUGUAUGAUCUUAAUUGAACGCCUUAGUAUUUACCCAAACAAGCUGAAAAUUUAUGUCCACAUAAAAGCUGCACAUGGAUGUUUACUUGUAAUUACCAAAACUUGGAAGCAACCACAAUGUCCUUUAGUGGAUGAAUGGAUAAAAUAAACUGAAGUACAUGAAGACAAUAAAUACUCAGUGCUAAAAAGAAAUGAAUUGUCAAGCCAUGAAAAGAUAUGGAGGAACCUUAAAGCAUAUUACUAAGUGAAAGAAGCCAAUCCGAAAAGGCUACACACUGUAUGAUUCCAAUUAGAUGACACUCUGGAAAAGGCAAACUAUGGGAAAUAGUAAAAGAUCAGUAGUUUCUAGGGGUUGAGAGGGAGGAAUGAGUAGGUGGAGCACAGAGCAUUUUUAGGGCUGUGAAACAACUCUGUAUGAUACUGUAAUGGUGGAUACAUGUUAUUAUACAUUUGUCCAAACCCAUAGAACGUACAACACCCAGAGUGAACCCCAAUGUAAACUAUGGACUUUGGGUGACAAUGAUGUGUCAGUGUAAGUACAUCACUUGUAAUCAACAUGGCACUCUCGUGCCGGAUGUUGGUAGUAGGGGAGGCUGUGUGUGUAGGGAGACAAGGGCUAUAUAAAAACUCUUUGUGGGGUGCCUGGGUGGCUUAGUUGCUUG